CGGNGGAAAAGAAACCAACCGGGAUUGCCUCAGUAACGGCGAGUGAAGCGGCAAAAGCUCAAAUUUGAAAUCUGGCUCCUUCGGGGUCCGAGUUGUAAUUUGCAGAGGAUGCUUCGGUUGCGGCCCCCAUCUAAGUACCCUGGAACGGGUCGUCAUAGAGGGUGAGAAUCCCGUAUGGGAUGGGGUGUCCGCGUCCGUGUGAAGCUCCUUCGACGAGUCGAGUUGUUUGGGAAUGCAGCUCUAAAUGGGUGGUAAAUUUCAUCUAAAGCUAAAUACUGGCCGGAGACCGAUAGCGCACAAGUAGAGUGAUCGAAAGAUGAAAAGCACUUUGAAAAGAGAGUUAAACAGCACGUGAAAUUGUUGAAAGGGAAGCGCUUGCGAUCAGACUCGCCUACGGGGUUCAGCCGGCUUUCGGGCCGGUGUACUUCCCCGUGGGCGGGCCAGCGUCGGUUUGGGCGGCCGGUCAAAGGCCCCUGGAAUGUAGCGCCUCUCGGGGCGCCUUAUAGCCAGGGGUGCAAUGCGGCCUGCCUGGACCGAGGAACGCGCUUCGGCACGGACGCUGGCAUAAUGGUCGUAAGCGACCCGUCUUGAAACACGGACCAAGGAGUCUAACAUCUACGCGAGUGUUCGGGUGUCAAACCCGUGCGCGGAGUGAAAGCGAACGGAGGUGGGAGCCCCCUCGCGGGGCGCACCAUCGACCGAUCCUGAUGUCUUCGGAUGGAUUUGAGUAAGAGCGUAAAUGUGGGGACCCGAAAGAUGGUGAACUAUGCCUGAAUAGGGCGAAGCCAGAGGAAACUCUGGUGGAGGCUCGCAGCGGUUCUGACGUGCAAAUCGAUCGUCGAAUUUGGGUAUAGGGGCGAAAGACUAAUCGAACCAUCUGGUAGC
rnacentral:rRNA from 1 species